NUGAAACAGAGAAGAUUAGCAUGGCCCCUGCACAAGGAUGGCAUGCAAAUUCGUGAAGUGUUUAUUUUUAAA
rnacentral:snRNA from 1 species